GUUGCUUCGGCGGGCCCGCCUUCAUGCCGGGGGGUCUCUAGCCCCCCGGGCCCGCGCCGGAGACUCCACUAUGUCCGAAGUUUGCAGUCUGAGUUUUCAUAUAAGAAAAGUUAAAACUUUCAACAACGGAUCUCUUGGUUCCGGCAUCGAUGAAGAACGCAGCGAAAUGCGAUACGUAAUGUGAAUUGCAGAAUUCAGUGAAUCAUCGAGUCUUUGAACGCACAUUGCGCCCUCUGGUAUUCCGGGGGGCAUGCCUGUCCGAGCGUCAUUGCUGCCCUCAAGCACGGCUUGUGUGUUGGGCCCCCGUCCCGUCUCCGCCGGGACGGGCCCGAAAGGCAGCGGCGGCACCGUGUCCGGUCCUCGAGUGUAUGGGGCUCUGUCACCCACUCGUGUAGGCCCGGCCGGCGGCUAGCCUCAACCAAACUUUUUUAACCAGGUUGACCUCGGAUCAGGUAGG
rnacentral:rRNA from 1 species